CAGCCGCCGCGGUAAUACCGGCCCCGCGAGUGGUCGGGGUGAUUAUUGGGCCUAAAGCGCCCGUAGCCGGCCCGGCAAGUCCCUCCUUAAAGCCUCGGGCCCAACCCGAGGACGGGGGGGAUACUGCCGGGCUAGGGGGCGGGAGAGGCCGGCGGUACUCCCGGGGUAGGGGCGAAAUCCGUUAAUCCCGGGAGGACCACCAGUGGCGAAGGCGGCCGGCUGGAACGCGCCCGACGGUGAGGGGCGAAAGCCGGGGGAGCGAACCGGAUUAGAUACCCGGGUAGUCCCGGCUGUAAACGAUGCGGGCUAGCUGUUGGGCGGGCUUAGAGCCCGCCCAGUGGCGCAGGGAAGCCGUUAAGCCCGCCGCCUGGGGAGUACGGCCGCAAGGCUGAAACUUAAAGAAUUGGCGGG
rnacentral:rRNA from 1 species